rnacentral:other from 1 species
AGAUAUCUGUGAUGUGCGUCGUAUCCUCACAAGUGUUGACCGAACAAUUAAUUUUACCUUGGGAGUUACCAAGAUAUCGUGGAAAACAAGCCUUAUCACUUGGUAGUUUGAAGCGUUACUAACAAUUCCCACCUGCAUAUAAAGCGGGUUCAACCAUUCAGGGUACAUAACGGCAUUGACGGAUAUUUU